UACGUAGGGGGCAAGCGUUGUCCGGAAUCAUUGGGCGUAAAGAGCGUGUAGGCGGCCCGAUAAGUCCGCCGUGAAAGUCCAGGGCUCAACCCUGGAAUGCCGGUGGAAACUGUCGGGCUGGAGUCCGGAAGAGGCGAGUGGAAUUCCUGGUGUAGCGGUGAAAUGCGCAGAUAUCAGGAGGAACACCGAUGGCGAAGGCAGGUCUCUGGGCCAUAACUGACGCUGAGAAGCGAAAGCAUGGGGAGCGAACAGG
rnacentral:rRNA from 1 species